AGUGAAUGCUGGCGGCGUGCUUAACACAUGCAAGUCGAACGAGAACGGGUUAUAGCUUGCUAUAAUUGUCAGCUAAGUGGCGCACGGGUGAGUAAUGUAUAGGUAAUAUGCCUCUUACUAAGGGAUAACAAAUGGAAACGUUUGCUAAUACCUUAUACUCCUUAUUAACAGAAGUUAAUAAGGGAAAGAUUUAUUGGUAAGAGAUUAGCCUGUAUUGUAUCAGUUAGUUGGUGGGGUAAUGGCUUACCAAGACUAUGACACAUAACUGGUUUGAGAGGAUGAUCAGUCACACUGGAACUGAGACACGGUCCAGACCCCUACGGGAGGCAGCAGUGGGGAAUAUUGCACAAUGGACGAAAGUCUGAUGCAGCAACGCCGCGUGGAGGAUGACACAUUUCGGUGCGUAAACUCCUUUUAUAUGAGAAGAUAAUGACGGUAUUAUAUGAAUAAGCACCGGCUAACUCCGUGCCAGCAGCCGCCGUAA
rnacentral:rRNA from 1 species